UACGUAGGGCGCAAGCGUUGUCCGGAAUUAUUGGGCGUAAAGAGCUCGUAGGCGGUCUGUCGCGUCUGGUGUGAAAACUCGAGGCUCAACCUCGAGCUUGCAUCGGGUACGGGCAGACUAGAGUGCGGUAGGGGAGACUGGAAUUCCUGGUGUAGCGGUGGAAUGCGCAGAUAUCAGGAGGAACACCGAUGGCGAAGGCAGGUCUCUGGGCCGCAACUGACGCUGAGGAGCGAAAGCAUGGGGAGCGAACAGG
rnacentral:rRNA from 1 species